rnacentral:lncRNA from 1 species
UGGGAUUUCAUCAAAGCCUCAAUGGGCAAUAUAUAUCCUGUGUUGAGUUGGUUCACAUAUACAUCAUAAAAUAAGAUCAUGUACAUACCAAGGGAUUAACAUAUACUAUGGUCAAGCACAACUCUAUCCUCAAUAACAUAAUUACAUUCUUAUCAUUUGUCAUGUCCACAAACUCUAGCUAUUACAUACAUAUGACUUUUCUCUUCUUUUCUUCUCUAUCAAUCCCGUACCUGCAAACCUGGGGUUAGGGGAGAGGGGUGAGCUAAAAGCCCAGUGAGCAGAAACUGAAAACAUUAUAUUAAAGUUCAUGCUUUCAUGAAAUGCAUCAUAUCACAGACAAUCCACAUCAAGGGUGAACCUGUCACCAAUUAGUCCCAACAUAGUCUCGUGCCAGGCCGUAGCAUGGGGUCCUGGUCUUCCUGUCAUAACAUAUAUAAAGCCUCGUGCCAGGCCGUAGCAUGGGGUCCUGGUCUUCCUGUCAUAGCAUAUAUAAAGCCUCGUGCCAGGCCGUAGCAUGGGGUCCUGGUCUUCCUGUCAUACAUACAUAAAGUCUCGUGCCAGGCCGUAGCAUGGGGUCCUGGUCUUCCUGUCAUAACAUACAUAAAGUCUCGUGGACUAAUUGGAUCAUACAGCAUUCACCCACAACCACAAAAUAAAAUGCAAUGCGACAUAUUCGUGUACUAAUGCAAUCAGCCUAUUACAUAUCAUCAUGAUGCGUGAAGCAUGCCCAAACCAUUCAGUUAUUUGAUUUAAAACAUUAAGCUUGUUUCCACUCACCUCUGGCUAGCUCUGUCCAGACACUGAAGCAGCUCACUCACUGCUGGGGUCCUCGGUUCCUCGGGUCCGAACCUACACAGGUGGACUCCAAUGAGGGACCAAACAUAUAUAAACACAACUCUAAUAUAUCCCCCAAAAACCCCCUAAAACAUCAUGAAAACAUCACAGAAAAUAUGCAUGAAACGGCUGAACAGGGCACCUUCGGCGGCACUUUCGGCGGCCGAAAGUCCUGGACAGAGACGAAACUCAGCUAGGUUCGGCGGCACCUUCGGCGGCCGAAAGUGCCAGACAGAGACGAAAGUCUCUUUUCGGGGGCACCUUCGGCAGCCGAAAGCUGCCUUCACAAGAGGGGUUCGGCGGCCGAAACUCCCUUCGGCUGCCGAACCUGGUUUCUGCCAAACGGCAGAAACUUGGUUCAAAUGAACCUCCUGCCUCCCAAAACCAUAGAUCAUGCAUAUUUCUCAACCAAAACACGCAUACAAGUUCCUAGGGGUCUCAAACAUGCAUAUACCCCAUCUACAACACUUCAUUCACACACAAACAAGCUACAUUGCUCAAACUUCAUCAAAACCCAUAAACUCAACAUAUGUCCUAACAUGCAUUUCUACCCAUAGAUCUUACUUAAAACUUGUUUAAAACAUAAAAAGGGUUCAAGAUCGACCCUUACCUCUUGAAGAAACGAGAGGAAAGCGAUCCUAGCUUGGAGAUGGAGAGAUUAAGCUCUUUGAACCUCCAAGCACUCAAAGCUUGCUCAAAGCUCACAAAUCUUCAAAACAAG